GAUGAACGCUGGCGGCGUGCCUAAUACAUGCAAGUCGAGCGAACAGACGAGGAGCUGGCUCCUCUGACGUUAGCGGCGGACGGGUGAGUAACACGUGGAUAACCUACCUAUAAGACUGGGAUAACUUCGGGAAACCGGAGCUAAUACCGGAUAAUAUAUUGAACCGCAUGGUUCAAUAGUGAAAGACGGUUUUGCUGUCACUUAUAGAUGGAUCCGCGCCGCAUUAGCUAGUUGGUAAGGUAACGGCUUAACGAGGCAACGAUGCGUAGCCGACCUGUGAGGGUGAUCGGCCACACUGGGACUGAGACGCGGCCCAGACUCCUACGGGAGGCAGCGGUAGGGAAUCUUCCGAGAUGGGCGAAAGCCUGACGGAGCAGCGCCGCGUGGGUGCUGAAGGUCUUCGGAUCGUAAAACUCUGUUAGUAUGGAAGAACAAAUGUGUAAGUAACUAUGCACGUCUUGACGGUACCUAAUCAGAAAGCCACGGCUAACUACGUG
rnacentral:rRNA from 1 species